rnacentral:rRNA from 1 species
UACGUAGGGGGCAAGCGUUGUCCGGAUUUACUGGGCGUAAAGCGCGUGUAGGCGGCCACGCAGGUCCGUUGUGAAAACUGGAGGCUUAACCUCCAGACGUCGACGGAAACCGUGUGGCUAGAGUCCGGAAGAGGAGAGUGGAAUUCCCAGUGUAGUGGUGAAAUACGUAGAGAUUGGGAAGAACACCAGUGGCGAAGGCGGCUAUCUGGACGGUUUCUGACACUAAGACUCGAAAGCGUGGGGAGCAAACAGG